rnacentral:rRNA from 1 species
UACUCGAGUGGCGAACGGGUGAGUAACACGUGGGUGAUCUGCCCUGCACUUCGGGAUAAGCUUGGGAAACUGGGUCUAAUACCGGAUAGGAGCCAUCUUUAGUGUGGUGGUUGGAAAGUUUUUUCGGUGUAGGAUGAGCUCGCGGCCUAUCAGCUUGUUGGUGGGGUAAUGGCCUACCAAGGCGGCGGCGGGUAGCCGGCCUGAGAGGGUGUACGGCCACAUUGGGACUGAGAUACGGCCCAG